GACGAACGCUGGCGGCGUGCCUAACACAUGCAAGUCGAACGCUGUCCAUUCGGUGGCAACACUGAUGAAGACGGAGUGGCGAACGGGUGAGUAGCACGUGAGCAACCUGCCCCCGAAGACCGGGACAACACCGGGAAACCGGUGCUAAUACCGGAUGCCCCCACCGGGCCGCAUGACCUGGUGAGGAAAUGGAUUCCGCUUCGGGAGGGGCUCGCGGCCUAUCAGCUAGUUGGUGGGGUAAUGGCCUACCAAGGCGUCGACGGGUAGCUG
rnacentral:rRNA from 1 species